UGCAUCAGAUGUCAAGGCAGCCUGCAAAUAGACGGUGGUUGUGUGGUUCAGGAUGUGAAGGAACGCAUUGCAAGUAGAACGUAUACAAAAAAAAAAAAAAAAAAAAAAAAAAAAAAAAAAAAUUUUUUUUUU
rnacentral:ribozyme from 1 species